ACCACCUCAAAUAUUUUCUUUGUCCCUUGACAUAAGGUUUCAUAUUUUGCAUACUUCUUUACCAACAUGACCCCAAUCUAUAAACAAGAGCAGACAACUGUAAAAAGCAUUUUGUAAGAAUUAUGGCCCCUUUUUUCACUUAGAAUAUGCAUACUAUUGGUUAUUCUAUGUUAAAGUUUGCGUACCACCUUAAAUAUUUUCUUUGUCCCUUGACAUAUUGCAUUCAUAUUUUGCAUACUUCUUUACCAACAUGACCCCAAUCUAUAAACAAGAGCAGACUACUGUAAACAACAUUUUGUAAGAAUUAUGGCCCCUUUUUUCACUUAGAAUAUGCAUAUUAUUAAUAAUUCUUUGUUAAAGUUUGCUUACCACCUCAAAUAUUUUAAUUGUCCCUUGACAUGCUGCUUUCAUAUUUUGCAUACUUCUUGACCAACAUGACCCCAACUUGAAAUACAAUCUUAUUAGUUUGUUUUAUAUCUUUACAAAUGUUCAAUACAUAUGUUUUGUGGAAACCUGAACUCAGAAUCGUCUAUAAUUAACCAUUUCUUUAAAACAUAAGCGAUCAAUAUGUUUGGCUUAAACUUAUUUAUUACGACAUAGUAACAUAUUCACAAGUAACAUGGCAUUGACAUAGGAUCCAUAUGUUUCAAUUAUGGUCCUCUUCCAGUUAGAAUAUGACUAUAGUACCUUGACCUUAUUGAAUAUGAACAAUUUCCCCAUGGUGGCUUACUUUAUACUGUCAAGCACUUGAAUAGUCGAGCGCGCUGUUUUCUGACAGCUCUUGUUGUUUUUCUCAUCGACAUUUCCAUUUUAACAUUUAGUAGCCAAAAGGGUCCAAGUCCCCUUGAUCUCGCAAGAACGUACUGUCAGAAUUACGUUGAUCCACCAGGUUUUGAAGUAAAAACCGUCAAUGAUGUCAUAGGCGAAGGAGUCUUUGCCACUUAGCCUUUUAAAAAAGGAGACUUUCUUCUCGAAUACAAAGGGGAUCUGAUAACACGAGUAAAACAUGCAAUUAGAAAAGGAGUAUGAACAGGAGGGUCAAGGCAGCUUCAUUUACUUUUUUAAAUACAGAGACAAAUCUUGCUGCAUUGACGCUACCAACGAUAUAUUCCACGAGGGUCGAAUGAUAAAUGAUGCCGAAAAUGGAGACGCAAAACAAAAUUGUGUAAUGAAAAUAGUUGAAGUCAACCAAACUCCCCAUCUAUGCACUUUCGCCGACAGAGACAUUGCAAUUGGCGAGGAACUCCGAUAUGAUUAUGGAGUACCAACACUUCCAUGGAGAAAGGCAACACAAUGACUACUAGAUCUACGGACAGCCAGGAACCAGGACAAACAACAUCAAUACACACGGAAGAAGUCAAUGAGACGAAAUGUACGGAACAAAAAAGGGCAACACAAUGACUACUAGAUCUACGGACAGCCAGGAACCAGGACAAACAACCCCCGUGCACACGGAAGAAGUCGAUGAGACGAAAAGAGUACUUCAAAUACCAGGAGAACAUAACAAGCAGCCAACAAUCAAUGGAGUGAAAACGAAAAAGGAGCUGUUCACAGACACUUUGAUCGUUUUUUGAUAAUGGGUAAAUUACCAGAGAAAAAAGAAAUACUUGCAUGAAUUGAAAGUGAGAAUGACCUUCGCAACAGAAGUUGGAAAAAUGUCAAAGACUUUUGCAGAAAUUUUAUUGAAACAAAAAAGCGACGGGGACUUUUAACUUAAAAAAAUAUUACACAUAUAAUGCACGUUUAGGAGAAUACGUUAAAGGAUGAAGUUGCCACAUUUUUUUGUGUUUUCUUGUUCUAUAUACUCUUUUCGAAAACGAUAUAUGUGUGCUUAUUGUAUUUGAAUGUUUUAUUAAUACGGUUCUGCCAAAAACGAUAUUUGUUCAUAAUCUUAUCGCCGAACAAAUUAGGAUUGGUAUAUAGUUCGGCCAAUGAGUGUUUCUUUGUACUUUCUAUUACGAGUUUCUACGAGUUACUCACUAUACAAGUUAUUUUUUACCCUAAAUUUGUUGAAUAUGAAUGAAUAUAGCAAACAUGAUAACAAAUCAAUCUAGAAGGCUAAACGUUCAGAGAAGGCACACAAAAAAUUCAGUCGGAUAAAAUUUACAUUUUAAAUAAAAUAAAAAAACUACUGCUAAACUACUGCUAUAAUAUGAAGAAUACAAAUGAAUAUUUUGUCAAUUUUACAAAAUUUGUUUUGAAUGACAGGUGUCUGACUUGUAGUUGAGUACUUAAUAGUUAUUUUAAAGUAAACAUUUACCAAAAUGUAACUUAUUGCGUAAAUAUCGCACUAGAAUUGAUUAAAUAGUUGUUAAAUAUUACAAUAAUUUCCUACACAGAUUUUUGUGCAUUUGUUUUGCGUGUAGAUAUUCACAUUAGCUAUCAAUUCACAUAUUUGCUUUGUGUAUAUAAUUGGUAUGUUUAUAUAUAUUUUCAUAUCAAAAUUGCUUGAUCUACAAAAAUUCGCGAGGAGUUAUGCAUUUUUUCCCAUGUUUUUAUUGAAGUUUAUAAUUCAACGACGAUGAAAAUUACUAAGAUGCCAGAUUUAGUUAUGUUUUUUUUUCUCAUUUAUGGUUAAAGAUCAAUUAACAUACCCAUUUCCCAGACUAAGAUAUUGUUAAAACAAUUUAUCGCGUUUGCGACUGACCUCUUUUAUGCAUUCUAACACAAGCUAUUUACUUGUUUUUUCGAAUACUCUUCAUAUACACACACUUAGAUUACCUAGAACACAACAUAUUUGAAACAUAUAUUUAUAUGUGAUGUGUAAAUGCAGGCACAAAGCUAAUAAUUAAUAAUGUUUAUACACUUUGCGAUAUGAUGCUAUACUGUCGGUUGUUUUAAGUGAUUAGUCAUUAUGUUAACCAUGUUAUCUGCCAUCUGAAAUGUAAUUAAGUGUUUUGACAUGUAUGCGAAAUUGAUCUUGUUCGAUUUGGUUCUGUAUAUUCAGAAUUGAGUCACACUGUUAUAAUUUUCCUGUUGGUACAUAUUAUUUUUAAGUUGGCACCAACAAGGGUUUAACAAUUGAUCCACAUGUGCACUCCCAGUAAGUAUAUAUACUAUAAUGUAAGUGAUUCAAAAUAAUAUUAAACUACGUGUUUGAUAA